rnacentral:tmRNA from 1 species
GGGGCUGAUUUGGUUUCGACGGGAAUAAUAGAGCAUAGAUGGCAAGUCGAAUGUCCACGUCACGGGCACAAAAAAAUAAAUGCUAAAAAAUUAAGUAACGUUGUAGCUAAUAUGUUUGGUGCAAAUCAAGCAGUAGCUUUUGCCUAAUAAUAAUAUAAAGGCCAACACUUCUUAUAAUCUUACCUAGUGGUUAUUAAGAGGUUCAUUUUAUAGGUUAUAGCUAUUUAUUGUCUAGUAAAUAGAAAGAAUCUUCAGACUAGUAUAUUUUCUUGGUCGUUAAUUACUUGGAAAGUAUAUGAUAAUAAUUAGUUAACUAAACUUGUAGAGGUUUAUGUAGCUUUAUUUUCGGACAGGAGUUCAAUUCUCCUCAGCUCCACCA